AUGCUCUGCAUCCUCCAGGCCCGUUGUUUUGAGGAGGAGAAUGAGUCUCUAAAAUGCCAGAUUGUCGACGCGGAGAAGAAGCUGAAAGGCCGACGGGCGUCCGCCCGCGUCUCCUCCGCCGUGGCCGAGGCCGACUACGGUCUGGAUGCAGUGGUGGAGCGACUGCGCAGGGAGAGGGUAGGUAGUUGCUGCUGCUGCUGCUGCUGCUGGGUGCGUCAGCUCUGCCGCAUGUUUGUCCGCGUGACACCCCUGAAAGGUUUUCUUUCCCUUCGUAGACGGUCCAUUGCAUUUUUCACUCCGUCCCAUCAAUUCGACUUCAGUUUGUACUGCGACAAAGACAUGGCCCAUAGUCUGUAUCCAUCACUGUCGUCACUGCACCCCCUCCAACCCCCCGUCCUGCAGGAUGAGACUCUGUGCGACACCGAGGACCUGCGAAAGGAGCUGGAACGUCUGAUGGAAGAAUACGAGAAGGCCGCACAGCAGAAGAUCCUCCUGCAGCAGGGACGACAAGAUGUCGCUGAGGAUGUCGAUGCUGUGACAGCAGAGUGUUUGGCUCUGAGGGAGCAAGUGGCUAUCUACGAGGAGCAGCUGGCCAACAUGGAGGACCAACACACCACGGCAGUGGAGCGUCUGAUGGGACCAGCUGAAGGGACCGCAGGAGCAACGGCUGCCUUUCCAUUGGGCGGCCCUGACAUCACGCCGGCCCUGGACGUAAAGGAGUACUACUGCCAGCUGGCUGAGAGCCUCCAGCACGAGUGCGGCGCCGCCUCCUCUGCUGUGGGUCGCCGUGGCGACGGAGAGCAACGAGAAGAGGGCGUAGCUGCAGGGUCGACCGUCAAAGGCGCGUUAGCGACAAAGGACGUCUGUGAGAUAAAGACGCUGAUUUCAGAGCUCCAAAAGGCGCUCGCUGAGCUGGAGCGGCGUAACGAGGAGCUGGAGGACGAGGUCGAGAUGAAGGCGGCUGCAUACGCGGACGAGCUUGCGGAGUUGGAGUGGACCGUAGAUGAAGUGCAGCGCCAAGAGGCCGACUUCCAAGUGCAGAUGAAGCAGCAGUGUGAAGACUACAAGGAGCUGUUCAGUGAGAAGAUGGCCAGAGACAUGGAAAUUACUGCCUACAGGAGUCUGGUGGCCGAAGAGGAGGAGAGGCUGUGCAACCUGUGA
ensembl:lncRNA